rnacentral:tRNA from 1 species
AUUAUUUUGGCAGAUUAGUGCAUUAAAUUUAGAAUUUAAUUAUAUAGUUUAAUCUAUAAAUAAU